GCCCCUGUGGAUCAUUGGUGGUCGCCUCGGAUCUGUGUAGGGCCGAACAUGAGUAGCAAGGAGACGGAGGUUCGAUUCCUCCCGGGGGCA